rnacentral:lncRNA from 1 species
UUUGGUUUGGGGAAGAAGGUUCGAAUAUGUGAGGGAUAAGAGAAAGCAUAAGAUAUCGAUCUCAGUUUUUUCAGUUUUUGAUUUAUGAAUUAUUAAAUUGCAAUUUGACUUUUUUUUAAUAAAAGAUGAUUGGGCUGCAACGCCCAUGCACUUUUUCCUGUUAUCCCCUGCCAUGUGUCCAUUUUUGUGUGGAUGUAGUUG